rnacentral:snRNA from 1 species
UUGCUUCGACAGCAUCUAUUAUUUAAAAUUGGGAUUGAUACAGAGAUGACUAGCAUGUGCCCUGGGGUAGGAUGACAAUGCAAAGUCAUGAAGCAUUUCUACUAAAU